UUUAAGUGCAGCCAUUUUUUUUAACCUAACUUUAUUUGAAAUUUUUUUGAAAAAAUUUAAAAACAUAAGUCAUGCAUAAAGUAUUAUUCAUGUUUUAUUAUCUCAUAACAAUAAAAAUACUAAUUAAAUAAGACGGAUGAUCAAAGUUGUACACAGAAACUCAUGGUUGCACUUAAA
rnacentral:pre_miRNA from 1 species